UGGGGAAUUUCCCGCAAUGGGCGAAAGCCUGACGGAGCAAUGCCGCGUGGAGGUGGAAGGCCUACGGGUCGUCAACUUCUUUUCUCGGAGAAGAAACAAUGACGGUAUCUGAGGAAUAAGCAUCGGCUAACUCUGNGCCAG
rnacentral:rRNA from 1 species